UAAGGAAUAUUGGACAAUGGAGGCAACUCUGAUCCAGCCAUGCCGCGUGAAGGAAUAAGGCCCUAUGGGUUGUAAACUUCUUUUAGACGGGACAAAACCCCUUUACGUGUAAAGGGUUGAUGGUACUGUCAGAAUAAGCAUCGGCUAACUUCGUGCCAGCAGCCGCGGUAAUACGAAGGAUGCAAGCGUUAUCCGGAAUUAUUGGGUUUAAAGGGUGCGUAGGCGGACUAAUAAGUCAGUGGUGAAAGCCUGCAGCUUAACUGCAGAAUUGCUAUUGAUACUGUUAGUCUUGAGUACAGUUGAGGUAGGCGGAAUGUGUCAUGUAGCGGUGAAAUGCUUAGAUAUGACACAGAACACCGAUUGCGCAGGCAGCUUGCUAAGCUGUAACUGACGCUGAGGCACGAAAGCGUGGGGAGCAAACA
rnacentral:rRNA from 1 species